GGAUUAGAUACCCUGGUAGUCCACGCCCUAAACGAUGUAUGCUUGGUGUUGGCCCCUCGGGGUCAGUGCCGGAGGAAACCCAUUAAGCAUACCACCUGGGGAGUACGAUCGCAAGGUUGAAACUCAAAGGAAUUGACGGGGGCCCGCACAAGCGGUGGAUUAUGUGGUUUAAUUCGAUGCAACGCGAAGAACCUUACCUGGGCUCGAAAUGCAGGAAGUAGGACCCUGAAAGGGGAACCACCCGUCAAGUCGGGAGCCUGUAUAGGUGCUGCAUGGCUGUCGUCAGCUCGUGCCG
rnacentral:rRNA from 1 species